CUUACAUGACUUCUCAACUGUUCCUUGCUCGAGAAUCUUUUACUACAAUCUGAACAGGCGAAAUGCUUCUCACCAGUGCGCAUUCUCACAUGUCCAAUUUCAAAUGUCUCUCAUAAGGAAAGGUUUGCCCACACUGAGAACAUUUCCAUUGUUUGACGGUAGCGUGACACGUCAUUUCUCCAUCAUCUUCCGUUUCAGGAGAGUGUGACGUCAUGUCGUCACUAUCUGAUCGUGGCGCUAAGAGGCCGUCUGCUUGGGAUCCUCCACAGGGGUCUUCUCCGUCACCUUCUGUUCUCAUGUGUCGACUUGAGCUGCUGCUGCUCGGAGGCUCCGCCCCUCUGUUGUGUUCUCCUCACGUUGAACUUCAUCUCCACUCUUCAAAAGGACGCCAGUCGAUGAAAACAAGCCCCAGAGUCCACAGUUCCAGCGGCAUUGACCGUGGUGAGACGCUGCAGGAGGACCUGGGAGCGAGCCCGCCAGAUGCUGCUGCGCCAGUGACGGUCCUACAAAGCCGCUGCUGACCGUCGGAGGACACCGGCCCCCGAACUACAAAGUGGGUCAGCGAGUUUGGCUCUUGACCAAACAUAUUCCACUCCGGGUGGAGUCCAAGAAGCUCGCUCCCAGGUUCAUUGGGCCCUUCCCCAUCACAAAGAUCAUCAACCCUGUCACGGUGAAGCUUAGGCUCCCAACGUCGAUGCGGGUCCACCCUGCUUUUCACGUCAGCCUGCUCAAGCCAGCCCGGGAGUCCCCUCUGGUCCCGCCUUCCAGGCCCCCUCCUCCCCCCCGGUUUCUGGAUGGGGCCCUGUCUUCUCUGUGAAGCGGCUGUUGUCGUCUCGUCGGCGGGGGAGGGGGUUUUAAUAUCUGGUGGACUGGGAGGGUUACGGGCCUGAGGAACGUUCAUGGGUGGCACGUCUGCGUUUAUCAUGGAUGACUCGCUCAUUCGGGACUUCCACAUUGCGCAUCCAGGGGCCGUCUGGGGCCGGCCGUUAAGGGGGGGGGGGUACUGUCAUGGGUGUGUGUUUGGGUUUUUGUCUUCCCCCUGUUUCACACACACCUGCUCCUGUGAGGAUCUUCACCACCUGUGCCUCGUUCACCCUAAUGACCCCUUGCAUUGAACCUCGUGUCUCGUUCCCUCUCGUCGCCAGUUGGUUGUACCUUGUCGUCGCGUUCCGGCAUUCCUUGUUUCCACGUCACAGACUCACAGUAAGACUCGACCCUGUUCCGAUGAUAGACUUUGCCUCGUGUUUUUGGAUACCGUUGCCUCUCUUGGAUUGCCUGCCUGUGUACCGACCUAUGCCCGUCUAUUAAACCUCUCUUUUUGGAAA